rnacentral:lncRNA from 1 species
UUGUAUUUUAAAAAAAUAUUUCUCUAUUUUCCCCAACCCUCUCAAGACCCUGAGUUGUCUUACAAAUCCCAUCAAAUUAAAAGUCAGUAGAAUGCAGGAAAAUCAGAUAAAGGGUUAUAAUACCUAAUAAAAAGGUCCUUUAAAAUACCUGAGCAAGAAGAUCAUAUCAAGAGACCACUCGUGGCCUCUUCUCUAGAAUUUGCAGGAAGCUGGCUGAAUGAAUUGCUAAAUCUGGGGAUAUGAAGAAGAAGAAAAAAAAAAUAAAAAUUUUUGAUUGUCUUGUGUGCGUUUGGACCUUGUACCUGGGAUCAUCUUAGGAAAUCAAAGAUUGAUGUGCUCUUGUGAUAGGUGAGAAGUCUCAGGGCGCCGCUGCCUGAUCAGUGCAGUGAGAAUUGUCCCACCUUCUGGUGCCUUUAGGCAGGAACCACAGGUGCUGUGUCUGUAUUGAACAUGUUUUGUUUGUUUGUUUGUUUUAAAGGGAAAUAAAAAUCCUGCUUAACUCUUCUAAGCAGGAUUUUUUGGUUUUCAUAUUUUGGCAGUGCGAACAGCUAUUUGCUAAUGAACUGACAUAUUGGAUUACAUUUAUCUCCAAGUUGUUUCUUCUCAUUAUUAUCAAACAGUAUUUACUAUUUUUUUCCUUCAUGUUUCCCGACCACAAUAUACCACACAUCCAAUUUAAGUUGAUUCAGGGUAAUGAGAGGCUGGGUUGGCACCCACUGUAACGGAGACUUCUACCGGCUCUUCAUUUAAACUUGAACUACCCCAAAUUAGGUAAUUUCAAGGCUGAUUACAUAGAAAUUUUUCAGAUUUCUAUGUGUUACAGAAAAUGGAAUGUUUCUAUAGAGUUAAGGGUCUAGCCCAUUCAUUUGCUUUAUAUUUAAACUGGUUAUGCAUUUAAAGAUUGGGAUAGAGCUACCCUUUAAGUAGGCAUAAGAAAACUGAAUACUUUUAUUCUCCAUUAAACAUUGGCUUUCAGUAAGUAUACAUGAAACCCACAAACUCUGUGCCUGUUGGAUAUAAGAACUAAUGGUUAGGAUAGACAAAAUCACAUAUUUCCAUGUUUUUAAAACAGUUGGUGAUGAAGAUCUUAUUUCUAGCAUCUCAAACUGAUACUUUUGUGAAAUUAUUAACAAAAAAAAUUAAUGGAAUGGAAAUAAAAAAACACAAAGACAUACAAAAUAUGAGUCCUUUUAAACACAUUAAAUUCAAUAGGUGCAGAGUUAACUAUGUCAAAUUGUAUGUAAGUUUCUAAAGAUAUACCUUCAAUUUCUGUACUUGUCAUGGACCAGUUUCAGUUUGGAGGCUGGUGUCAUCCUAUGAAUCACACUGGGAAUUACAUUCUGCAACCAAUUCUAUCCUUUAGCUUUACCAGGUUGUACAGACCAGAUCACCGGUUACAUCUCCAUAAUUCUGUUCCUUCUUGGUUUACGCUCACCUCAUAACUCCACCUAUCCCCAGAAUCCUAUAGAGCAAUUUUGUCCAAUAGAAAUGUAGCACGAGUCACCUAUGUAAUUUUAAAUUUACUAGUAGGCACAUUAAAAAGUAAAAACAGCUAAAAUUAACUUUAAUCCUAUAUUUUUUUACUUGAUGUGUCCAAAAUAUUCAAUAUGUAAUCAACAUAAAAUAUUUUUUAACAAAAAUAUUAUUAAUGAGAUGUUUUACAUUCUUUUUCUCAUUGUGAGUCUUUGAAAUCUAGUGUUCAACUUUCACUUAAUGACACAUUUCUAUUUGGACCAGCUGCAUCCCAAGUGGUCAAUAGUCACUUGUGACCAUAUUGGAUGGUGCAACUAUUGAACUUGAUCUGAGCUGUCUCAGAGCAAGUAAGGUGCAUCUAUAACAUCCUGUCUUGGAAGGAAACUACCUCCAUGUAAAGGAAAUUUCAAACUCUUUUGGGGGGAGAGCAAAGGAUGCUUCAUACAUUUUAGGGAGAUGCAACAAAGGAGCUGCAUUCCUUUUCUUAUCUAUCGAUGGUAAAGUCAUCUUGCAGUAGUUUUAGCUCAGCUUUUUUGGCAUCUCAGUUUCAAAUAUCCUUAUUUCUUGUCCAGGAUUCUUCAGCCUUGUUAGAUUCAGCCUAUCUAGGUUGUGCACUCUUACUAUUGCAAGUAAAGAAAACAGUUGGUAUCUUGAAAUAUCUCCCAGUUACUAGACAACCAUAAAACAGAUAUGCAAAGUUAUUGGUAAAUUUCAAAAGUAUUCUUGUUGGCUAGGUCAUAGAGUUGGCCUUCUUCCUCUUUGGGCUUUGGUCUAUAGAGAUGAUGUUCUCAAAACCUGCCACUUCCAUAGUGAUGGUUGUUGUUUUUCUGGGAUAAUGAUGGCCACGUUUUCUGAUCUGGGAGUGAAUGAUGCAGGAGGUCUCUGUUGCCAGACAGAGCUGCAUUCAUGUGCACUUAAUCUCCUUAGUGACAUUCACACCGACAGUUUCAGCUCCUUCUCCUCAUCAUCUGCACAGGCUCAUCAAUCCUUUCACCUCUCUUUCAAAUUAUGUCCGGGGGAAGGGAAGUAAUUCUGGGCAAACAUUCAUAACAUUUUGAAUGGCCAGAUACUUAUAGUUAACCUCUUGCUAGCUUUUCCUUUACAGUAAGACACAAACAUCCCCUGAAUAGGCUCGUAUUCUUCCAAUUUAGUUACAGUCUAGAGAAAAGAAGACAGAUCCUCUACACCUGAUCAGAGAGAGGGAUAACAGCGUAGUUGGACGAGCCACCUUGACUUCAUGAGCUUUGAGAGGAGGGUGAAGCACUGAGUACCACAGCUGGAUGUUAUGUAUCUUCUAUCUGCAAGCUCAUGAAUAUUUCUCUGGAUCAUAUUGUCAUAAGGAUGCGGUUCUGUAGAAGAUGAUAAAGUUGGCCAAGCCUAAAUCUAGGGCUACUUAAUAUUAGGAUGCUUUUUUAUAAGAACACAUUUAAAGUGAGAGGUUCAGCCCAAGGCAGUUGAGAGCAUGAAGGACUUAAGGUAAAAUCAAGGCUCAGUCAGCUAAGGAAGGCCAAAGUGUGACCAUGGGAGACCAAGCUCACAGACCAAGUGUAAAGGCCAGAAGUGGCUGGGGCCUGGUGUGGGUAAUAAGGAAGGUAAAAGGAUGCCUUGGGUGAUGGUCAUAGACACUUGAUGGUGUUGUGGUUCACCUUUAUGAAGUGUACUCUCUGGUACAAGGGCAGGGCUGCUGAGUUGAAGAGCCAAGAGCCUGAAGCAGGGAUGUUAUCACUGCUCUGUGCUCUUCUUAUAGGCAAAGUGGACUCCAGUUCCCUGGGGCUCGCUGGUGGUGGGUUCUGGCUUGUUGUGGAGUCUUACUGAGGUUGGAGGGAAGAUGGUAGAACUACGUCCCACCCAGCGCCAACCACUGUGUCAGAGAUUGAUACAGGCAUGAUGCUGUUUGACACCUGGUACUUCCAACUCCCUAUUUCUGGGGAAAUUCAGAGCAGAAGAAGAUGUAGCAGGAAAUAUGAGAAGGUUCUCUGUAUCUGUAUGACUUUGGCUACUGAGAGGAGAAAUUGUGUGGGAUUCUUUUAAGAGUUUCAUUUUAUUAGAUGAUGGUCAUUUUGCUCAUGGGACAAAGUGGCCUUGGAUCAAGGUGGCCAUGGUGGCAUGUGACUCAGCAUGCUCUGCUGGGAAACAGCGAAUAGUUUAUUAUGGCUGGAAUAUAGAGUGUAAGGCAUGAGAAUGAUGAUACACUACCUCCAAAUUACUGUAAAUCCACCUCUGUUUAUCUCCAAUGCCACCACUCUAAAUGCAGAUAUUCUUUAGUAUCACAUGUGCUAUUCCAAUAGCUUCCUAGCUGGUGUUCAAGCUUCUACAUUGUCUCUCCAGCAAUUCUCCAUGGAGAAGCCAGGAUAAUAUUUUAAAAUAUACCUCCUACCCCACAUCUCAUUAAAAUUUUUUUUUCUCUAAAAGCCUACUCUCAAUUUAUACCACUUUUCUGUUGAUGGUCACACUGUCCUUCUCUCCGUUCCUCAAAUACUUCAAACACCUUCCUGCCCCAGGACAUUUGCAUAUGUUGUUCCUUUUCUCUGAACCGCUUUUUUCCUGUUGAUCAAAAGAGAACCUUGAUAGAGUGCCGAAAAAAUUAGAAAAUAGGGGGUGACAUUUGUUUAUCUAUAACAGACAAAACCCUCAUAUCUAAAAUAUAUAAAGAACUCUUCUAAAUUAACCCACAGAAGAAAUGGGCAAAUAAUUUGAAUAGCCAGUUUACAAAAGAGAAUAAUUAAAUGGCUGAUAAUAUUAUGGACUAUCUUAAGACAUCAUACAGUACUCAUUUCACUGAUAAAGAAAAUAGAGUCCAGCAAUGCCAGGGCUGAAUAGGCUGUGGACGCAGAGCCAUGUGGCUAAUGGAAGUCAGCUCUUUUAGCAGCAAAAGCAAGGAACUAAGUCUGAUGUCACCUAUCAGGAUAUGGAAGAAUAUAUAGUGGGUAUGCUCACAGAGGAAUAUCAUUGUAUAUCAGUGAACUAUAAUGAUAGGCAGCAAGAUAGAUUUAUGGUAGCAAUACAAUAUUUGUUGCAUCUUAGCUAUAUAACUUAGUUUACCAAGGAACCCCUGACAUGCUGACACUUUUGCAAAAGUUUAAACACACACACAGUUUUUAGUUACAAGUGGAAGUUGUGAUCAAUAUUUACAGUAAAUUACCUAAAAAUGAAAUUAUAGGCAAGGGAAUUAUGAACCCAGAUUUCAGAAAAAUGAUUCCGUCUGGUGGUGGUUGUGAGCCAGGGGGCGAUGGGAUGUGGGGGAGCCUGUGUAGUAAAUUUUUAUUCAUUGUGAAUAUUUUAACUUUGGUUUUGGCUCAUGAUGAUUUUUACUUUAUUAAAAAUGACCAAAUUACAAGCUAAAUAAAACUCAUUCACACAUGGGAAUGAAGCAAAGAUUAAGUUUAAUCCAGUUUUGUGCUCCUGAGGUCCAAAAGAUAAUAAUAUAAUACAAGAAAUGUACCACAAGAAAAAACUGUUUUUUCCAUAAUCUUGGAAUAGGUACAAGUAAGAGAAAUAAUAUAAUAGAGGAAGAUGUUAAUAAACUUAACAAAAUAAAAUUUAAAACUUUUGUUCAGCAAAACAAUGUGUUAUACAAUAUCAAAAAACCCAACACAAAUGUGAGAACAUGUUUACAACACAUUUAACAGAGAAGAGACAAAUUUUCUUAAUGAUAAAAAAAAUCCUUGAAAAUCAGUAAAAAAGAACAGUGACUCAGUGGAUAAACGGACUAAGUACAUGAGGCAGGUCACAAAAUAUUCAUGGCUUAUAAACUUCUGCAGAGAUUUUCAUUUCAUUGGUCCUCAGGGAAAUACAAAAUACCAUAUUUUUAGGUUAUCCAACUGACUGAGAUUAAAAAGUACGAAAAUAAAGGGUGCAACAUAAAUCUUCUACCUUUGGAAGGCAGUUUGGCAUCAAAAAUCAAGGUAUAAAAUCUAUAUACUCUUACAU